AAUAUUGGACAAUGGGGGCAACCCUGAUCCAGCCAUGCCGCGUGUGUGAAGAAGGUCUUCGGAUUGUAAAGCACUUUAAGAUGGGAGGAAGGGCUUUAGGUUAAUACACUGAAGUAUUGACGUUACCAACAGAAUAAGCACCGGCUAACUCUGUGCCAGCAGCCGCGGUAAUACAGAGGGUGAAAGCGUUAAUCGGAAUUAAUGGGCGUAAAGCGCGCGUAGGUGGUUCAGUAAAAUGGGUAUGAAAUCCCCGGGCUUAACCUGGGAACUGCUUUCAUAACUGCUGAGCUAAAGUACGGUAGAAGGUAGUGGAAUUUCCUGUGUAGCGGUGAAAUGCGUAGAUAUAGGAAGGAACACCAGUGGCGAAGGCGACUACCUGGACUGAUACUGACACUGAGGUGCGAAAGCGUGGGGAGCAAAC
rnacentral:rRNA from 1 species